GGUUCCAUAGUGUAGCGGUUAGCACGUCUGCUUUACACGCGGAAGGUCCUAGGUAAGCAGCCUAGUGGAGCCA
rnacentral:tRNA from 1 species